CACGGAGUUAGCCGGGGCUUAUUCUCCCGGUACUGUCAUUAUCAUCCCGGGUAAAAGAGCUUUACAACCCUAAGGCCUUCAUCACUCACGCGGCAUUGCUGGAUCAGGCUUUCGCCCAUUGUCCAAUAUUCCCCACUGCUGCCUCCCGUAGGAGUCUGGGCCGUGUCUCAGUCCCAGUGUGGCUGAUCAUCCUCUAAGACCAGCUAUGGAUCGUCGCCUUGGUGAGCCUUUACCUCACCAACUAGCUAAUCCAACGCGGGCCCAUCUAAAGGCGAUAAAUCUUUGGUCCGAAGACAUCAUCCGGUAUUAGCACCCCUUUCGAGGAGUUAUCCCGAACCUAAAGGCAGGUUCCCACGCGUUACGCACCCGUGCGCCACUAGACCCGAAGGUCUCGUUCGACUUGCAUGUGUUAGGCAUGCCGCCAGCGUUCGUUCUGAGCCAGGAUCAAACUCU
rnacentral:rRNA from 1 species